rnacentral:RNase_P_RNA from 1 species
UAUGGCGGAUAGUCGCAGUUGUGUUAACAGUUGAGGAAAUUCGAGACACGCCCGUCGCGUAAGUGACGGAGUAUGGUGCCUGGUGCAAGCCAGGGCAGGGUAACCUGACGACGGCCAACGUCUCUGUUCGCAGAGGCCAGUAGCCAUAAAGUGCCACAGAAACGAUGUCUUCCGGUGACGGAAGAGUGCAAGGGUAAACUCCACUAGCGUGCAACCCAAAUAGGCGGCUUUGCCGCGGGUAGGGGCACCUGUGUAAGCAGGAAGGAAUUAUCAUUCCUUAGACAAAUGACUAUCGCCCGGUUUGCCGGGAACAGAAUCUCGAUUACAGCC